ensembl:lncRNA
GUCCCGGAGAGACCCAUGGUGGAGCAGGUUGCCCUCAUGAAGCCCAUAGGCACCAUGCAGAGCAGAUCUCCAUGUGCAAUCAUGGAGAAGUCACUGUGCAGCAGUGGGUAUGGCCUGGAGGAGGCUGCCACCUGCAGAGAGCCCUCACAGGAACAGCACCUGGCUGGAGCUGCAGGCCGUGGAGAGGAGCCCAUGGUGGGACAGGAGUGCUGGGGGAGCUGCUACCUAGGGGUCCUGUGCUGGAGCAGUCUGCUCCUGAAGUAUCGACCCUGCGGUAUGGACCUGUGUUGGAGCAGCGCUCGGAGAGCUGCAGCCUGUGGGAAGUUUGUGUGGGAUCAGUUGGGGAAGGAUGGACAUCUCACUGCUCUAGUGUUAGUCAUCAGCAAUAACUUAUAUUGAUCUCCCAAGUCUGUUUUUUAUUCACGAUAGUAAUUGGUGGCCAUCCUCAUCACAACCCCUGAGCACUUCUCUAUCAUGUUUUCUCUCCCUGCUCCUCUGUGAGGAGAAGUGACAAAGCAGCUGUUCUGGAGUUCAGCCGCCCAUGGUGAAACCACCACUGCGUACCAGCAGGAAAAGUAUAACACUGAGUAAUGGACCUUUCUCGACUAAUGCUGGAACAGUGGAUAAAGACCAACAGUACCAAAAAGAACCAGCGGUGAAACAUAUUUUUAAAGUGUUUUGAAGUAAUAUUCACCUUGUUUUUUAGAGAAAGAGACUGGAACGGAGGGUGGAGAUUUUUGGUGUUACGUUCACCCUUCCACUGCUCCUCCGGAUCCACCGGUUGGGGUACGCACUGCAGACUGGAGAUGAGUGAGAAGGUGGCAACAGUACAUUGUGAGCAUGUGGAGUCCUCAGCCAGCAAGAACAUGAUGUUCGUGUUGAUAUUUCUUCCUCCGUUGGUGAGAUUGCUGUUACAGCCAAACCAAGUACGCAAAGGUGCAGGUGAAGUUCGGAGACAUCAGCUGUGACAAACCUUCUGGUCCGAGUCCUGGCAAACGCGGCACAGACCUCGCAGCACGUCUCUAGCAAACGCAGUACCUUACUCAAGGGCUGCACGGUGUCAACGGAGCCGUACCCCACCCGAGCCAACGUUCACCGAGAACUGCGAACAAAGCACCCCAGUGUGAAGUUCGGCGCUGCUGCGGACACCCGGGAAUGACGACGCGCCCCGCGCGUGACAGGACAGCCCUCAGCCUCGCUCCGGUGUUCCGGAGCUGCUGGGGAAGUGGCUCCAGCGCGCGCGUUCCUGCUGCCAGCAGCCACCGCCUCGGCUGCGGUGCAUCCCGGAGAGGCCGAGGCCCUGUCCCAGCAUCGGCCCUGCUGGGCCCGGC